rnacentral:lncRNA from 1 species
UUUAGACAACUAUCCAACAACAUCUCACUGGUCCUAUAGCCUCUGUCAGUACUGAAUUGAUCAGCCUUGUUUGACCAGGAAUUGAACAGAUUUGCCCCCUACCCCUGGCUCCUGGAUUCUGUGGAAAGGAUCUAUCAGUCCUCAGCCAAAUGGUGAAAAGACAACCUUUUCUCUCUUCCAAUUUAGCCAUUGAUUCUUCUGACUCCUUCUAUUCAAUCUUUGCAUUGUUUUACUUUUGUUUGGGGUGGUUGCUUUUUUUUUUAUUGUUGUUGUUUUGUUUGUUUGUUUUAGUUUCUUCGUUUACAGUAAGAACACUGGUCCUUUUCCCAGUAUAUGGUGGCUUGAAUAAAAAUGACCCUAUGGGUCUCUAAUAAGUGCCUCUAUUGGAAGAUGUGGCCUUGUUGGAGUAGGUGUGCUUUUGUUGGAGAAAGUGUGUCGCUAGGGAGUGGAAUUUGAGGUCUCAGAAGCGCAAGUCAGUUUAUUUUCUGAUGCCUGCUGAUCCAGAUGUAGAGCUCUCAGCAGCCUCUCCAAGAACCACGUCUGCCUGCGUGCUGCCAUGCUUCCUGCCAUGAUGAUAAUAGACUAACCCUCUGAACUGUAAGCCAUUCUCAAUUAAAUGUUUUCCUUUAUAAGAGUUGCGGUGGUCAUAGUGUCUCUUCUCAGCAAUAAAACCCUAAGAUGCAGUGUCUAUGGCUCCCCCUCUGGGAUCUCUUUUAUUGAUCUCCCUGAGCGCACAACCACUGCCAGUUCAAUCUUUUGUUUGCUCUUCCUCUACCGAGUGACUGUUAUCAUACCCUCAAACACAUCUAACUCCUGGUGUUUCUUUCUAAUAUCUAGGACCAACUACAUAACAAAAGCAAUAUUGGUUACUUGCUGGUUUUUAGAACAUGAGUUGUAACUUAACACCGCGUCUCAAUCAGCUUGAGCUGCCA